rnacentral:rRNA from 1 species
AGAGUUUGAUCCUGGCUCAGGAUGAACGCUAGCGGCAGGCUUAAUACAUGCAAGUCGUGGGGCAGCAGCUCUGUAGCAAUACAGAGGCUGGCGACCGGCAAACGGGUGCGGAACACGUACGCAAUCUACCCAAAACUGGUGAAUAGCCCUCCGAAAGGAGGAUUAAUACACCGUAACCUAUUGAAGUGGCAUCACUUUAUUAGUAUAGCUCCGGCGGUUUUGGAUGAGCGUGCGGCUGAUUAGAUAGUUGGCGGGGUAACGGCCCACCAAGUCUGCGAUCAGUAACUGGUGUGAGAGCACGACCAGUCACACGGGCACUGAGACACGGGCCCGACUCCUACGGGAGGCAGCAGUAAGGAAUAUUGGUCAAUGGACGCAAGUCUGAACCAGCCAUGCCGCGUGAAGGAUGAAGGUCCUCUGGAUUGUAAACUUCUUUUAUAGGGGACGAAACCUCUUUUUCUAAAGAGACUGACGGUACCCUAGGAAUAAGCACCGGCUAACUCCGUGCCAGCAGCCGCGGUAAUACGGAGGGUGCAAGCGUUAUCCGGAUUCACUGGGUUUAAAGGGUGCGUAGGAGGGCAGGUAAGUCAGUGGUGAAAUCUCCAAGCUUAACUUGGAAACUGCCGUUGAUACUAUCUGUCUUGAAUACCGUGGAGGUGAGCGGAAUAUGUCAUGUAGCGGUGAAAUGCUUAGAUAUGACAUGGAACACCAAUUGCGAAGGCAGCUCACUACACGAAUAUUGACUCUGAGGCACGAAAGCGUGGGGAUCAAACAGGAUUAGAUACCCUGGUAGUCC